AGUGAACGCUGGCGGUAGGCCUAACACAUGCAAGUCGAACGGCAGCACAGAGGAGCUUGCUCCUUGGGUGGCGAGUGGCGGACGGGUGAGGAAUACAUCGGAAUCUACUCUGUCGUGGGGGAUAACGUAGGGAAACUUACGCUAAUACCGCAUACGACCUACGGGUGGAAGCAGGGGAUCUUCGGACCUUGCGCGAUUGAAUGAGCCGAUGUCGGAUUAGCUAGUUGGCGGGGUAAAGGCCCACCAAGGCGACGAUCCGUAGCUGGUCUGAGAGGAUGAUAAGCCACACUGGAACUGAGAAACGGUCCAGACUCCUACGGGAGGCAGCAGUGGGGAAUAUUGAACAAUGGGCGCAAGCCUGAUCCAGCCAUACCGCGUGGGUGAAGAAGGCCUUCGGGUUGUAAAGCCCUUUUGUUGGGAAAGAAAUCCAUCUGGUUAAUACCCGGGUGGGAUGACGGUACCCAAAGAAUAAGCACCGGCUAACUUCGUGCCAGCAGCCGCCGUAA
rnacentral:rRNA from 1 species